ensembl:lncRNA
CGGAUUGUUACUAUUAUCAUCAACCAAAGAAAACACUAGAUGCCUUCCUUCAUAACUAUGUGUAGAGGAGAGCAGCAACAAUACUAACAUGUCCCACUGAAAAAUCCCCACACUACACACUCAGAUGUAAUCUGGAGGUUAGGUUUACUCUGUAGGUUAGGUUUACUCUGUAAUGUAGGUUUACUCUGUAAUGUAGGUUUACUCUGUAGUGUAGGUUUACUCUGUAGUGUAGGUUUACUCUGUAGUGUAGGUUUACUCUGUAAUGUAGGUUUACUCUGUAGGUUAGGUUUACUCUGUAAUGUAGGUUUACUCUGUAGUGUAGGUUUACUCUGUAGUGUAGGUUUACUCUGUAGGUUAGGUUUACUCUGUAGUGUAGGUUUACUCUGUAAUGUAGGUUUACUCUGUAGGUUAGGUUUACUCUGUAGGUUAGGUUUACUCUGUAAUGUAGGUUUACU